UGGGGAAUUUUGGACAAUGGGCGAAAGCCUGAUCCAGCAAUGCCGCGUGAGUGAAGAAGGCCUUCGGGUUGUAAAGCUCUUUUGUCAGGGAAGAAACGGUGGUGCCUAAUACGGAUCACUAAUGACGGUACCUGAAGAAUAAGCACCGGCUAACUACGUGCCAGCAGCCGCGGUAAUACGUAGGGUGCAAGCGUUAAUCGGAAUUACUGGGCGUAAAGCGUGCGCAGGCGGUUUUGUAAGUCUGUCGUGAAAUCCCCGGGCUCAACCUGGGAAUGGCGAUGGAGACUGCAAGGCUAGAGUUUGGCAGAGGGGGGUAGAAUUCCACGUGUAGCAGUGAAAUGCGUAGAUAUGUGGAGGAACACCGAUGGCGAAGGCAGCCCCCUGGGUCAAGACUGACGCUCAUGCACGAAAGCGUGGGGAGCAAACAG
rnacentral:rRNA from 1 species